AUUGAACGCUGGUGGCAGGCCUAACACAUGCAAGUCGAGCGGAGCGGCGGACGGGUGAGUAAUGCCUAGGAAUCUGCCUGGUAGUGGGGGAUAACGUCCGGAACCGGGAGCUGAUACCGCAUACUAUCCGUAUGGCCUAGGCCGGAUUAGCUUGGUGGUGGGGUAAUGGCAUACCAAGGCGACGAUCCGUAACUGGUCUGGGAGGAUGAUCAGUCACACUGGAACUGAGACAAGGACGAGACUCCUACGUGAGGAAGCAGUGGGGAUUAUUGGACAAUGGGCGAAAGUCUGAUCCAGCCAUGCCGCGUGUGUGAAGAAGGUCUUCGGAUUGUAAAGCACUUUAAGUUGGGAGGCGUUACCAACAGAAGAGGCACCGGCUAACUUCGUGCCAGAAGCCGCGGUAAUAA
rnacentral:rRNA from 1 species